rnacentral:tRNA from 1 species
GUGAGGCUUUANCUUAAUGAAAGCGUCUGAAUUGCAUUCAGGAGAUGUAUAUUCAUAGUCCUACAGUCUUUU